GACCCACGGUGGGCUAACUCGUCCUGGCAUCGUCCGGCGAGGAGGCUACCUGGGUCUAGGAGUGUGUGAACCCAUCUUCCCUCCCCUUUUCCUCUCCGUGUGAGCCACUGACAGUCUGAUCAUCUCACUGGAUGCAACAGAGUAAGCGGCGCCGUCUCUCUGAGACUAGCCGACGCUCUUUGCUGAAGGGAGGUGUAGGAGGGUCGUGGCCAUCCUCGUUAGUCUCUCCUGUGUGAAUACCCUGUAGGGAGAGAUCCUUAGUUUAUGUGCCGCUAGCGCGGACAGGGCAUCCUCCUCCCUGUGUGUGUGAUUGGAAAAUGGGUGGGGGACAGUCUAAGGAUUCCCUCUCACCCACUAAGGGUACCCCAGCUUAUUUCAUGUACGUACAUUAUGGUACUAAAACCUGCAGGUAUUUAGAGAAUUGGAAUCAUUACACGCGUGAAAAUUCAUCUAAACAAUGCCCACUAGAAGGUACCUUCAAUCUAGAUAAGAUCAUAUAUCUCAGAGGAGCUUUUAAUCACAAAAAAGCCUCUGACACAAAUGGGAGCAAUUUGUCUAUUGAGGAAAGGAACGGGUUAAUUUGAAAUUCAGCUUGGUCCAGAGAUAAAGAGAAAGUUAAUCUGCGUUCAAGGUCAAGAAUCAAUGCAGACCAGACUAAGUAUAAAGAAAAACUGCUUUCGGCCCCAGCUGACUGUGAAAAAAUAUAGACAUAGUCAAACCAAAGGCAAUACAAGUUAAAGUGCUGAGAUUACAUUUGCAAAGCUUAACUGUCCAGUGAGAUCCAACAGUCUGCCUUUGCGACCCUGGAGCUGGCGUGGUUUGGGGAAGCUGAAGAAGCCACAGGUAGCCGGCCUGGACUGGAAUCACUGAAAAGAUGCCCCAGGAGACCUCAGGGUGUAAAAGAACUGCCCUCCCAAGAGAGGAAGCAAGUUGGAGAUUUCACAGCACCUUCUCUGAACGUUAUACACAGACGUGGCCAGUCUGGACGUACGUGUGUGAGUAUGAAAGUGUGUCUACUCUCAGCCGCAGUAAGUCUGAGAACCGGAGAGGGAUUUAGCAUUCCUCUUUCCACCCCGGCUGACCGGGAAGGGUGUCAGGUGGAUCUACCCCAGUCGUAGCAGGACUGGGCAACAGAGAAGUUGGAGAAAAGGGAAGAGUUGUGUACUUGAUAACUAGAAUUGAGCAAUUAAGAGCAUAGAUCAUGAACCAGGCAGCAACUCAAACCUACGCCCAGGGCAAGUUGCAAGCCUUGAGACAGGACUUCCAGGCAGAAAAGGAAGCACUGGCUAAGCAAGUACCGGUCCUUCAGGGACUUGUCAGAAUUUAACCAUUUGUGUUUGCAUAUGCUGUAAGAGCAGUGUGUUUGCCACAAGAGAAAAUUGAAUAGUUAAAUGCCAAUGGGCAAUGCGUUUUGCCCAAGUGGCAAGCCUCACGGGGGAGGACUUGGGUAGCCUUGUGAGUAAGAAGAUAAAGAGAAGAGACCAGGAAGGGUGGGGGCUAGUUAAGAAGCCCACCCUCCUAUCUAAAUUGGUAGUGAAAAAGCUGGUGCCCAUGGAAGGGACGGUUCAGCGAGAAAAGCAGGAUCGGGUCCAAGCGGGCAGGCAAUAGAUAGAGAGAUUGGAGAACAGGUUGGAAACUUUGAGGGCAUAGUGGAAGGAAAGGAGUAAGUAAUUAUAAGCAUGGGGAUUUCAAAUCCCCAGGAUAAUAAUUGAAAUGGUAAAAUGUGUGUAAGACAGAGUCUUUGUACCAAGGUGCAAGGCUCUCCUUUCUUCUGCAGAAUAAAGCAACUCUUCCUUAUCCCUGUCUGGCUGUUAUUGGCUCUCAGCUAGGUGGACCCGAUAUUUUGGUGACAGUUAAUGGCGACUCCGGUUAAUGAAUUUCUGUCUUAUACAUUUAGGUGUUGGGUGUGUGGAUGGAACUGAGCCUCUCAUUCGUAAUUCCUCAGAGUGGAAGCCAUCGCGUGCAAUGAAGCUCUGAGGUUGAAUUGGGAUCCUUCUGUCCCGUCCCCUGUAGCGGUCAGUAUUAGUAGAAAUUCCUGUAAUAGGAUCCUAUUAGGCCAUAAUUCCCUCUGUUCUCUGUGUAAUUCUCUGUUAGAGUGUCAGCAGGCAGAUGGGUGGGUCUCUGGUAAAACUCUCUAAGGAUAGCCCUUUGGAUUAUAUGUUAAGUAAAUGGCCUUUACCCGGUGUUCAGGAAAGAAUAAAGAUUUGAAUUUGUUUUUGGGUAACAAAAUAGCAGAUAAAAGAUCUGGUAAAAAGAGAGAGAAGGACAGUGCCCCUGGCUCUGUGUGGUCGAACUGUCACUUUACUAGGGGUGCAUGGAGAUUUUGUAAGCACAAAAGAAACAGUUACACCUUGUGUAGAAAUUGAUGUGGCUAGUGUUGUGGAAAUUGAAUUGUGGAUAGGAUGUGCAUUUUCCCCAGAACAUGUGCAGUGUAUAUUGUAGCAGAGGUAAAAGAAAUGCAAACCUACCAAUAUAGGUUGUGUCGUCUCUUUCAGAUCACUGGGUGUUUGAAAGCAGGAGUUAGAAGUAAAAGGCAAUCAAAAGUCUGGGAAAGUUAAUUGUGACUUUUUACAUAAGAAUUUUUAAGCUGUGGAUAGCUUUGGAUCUGGAAGCAAGCCAGAAAGCAUCUGUAUUAAUGCAAUUUUCUAACUAAUAAGGUAGAAGCCACUGAAACCUGGGCUGCCUAUGAAACAAAUACAAAGAAAUAUGGGGUAAUUCCUCUGUUUUGUCUAAAAUCAACAAGAGUAUGUGUGUAUAUAAAGGAAAUAUUUUAAGCAAUGACUGACUACCCAGAAGGGGUAGACCUCUGUUCUUUUGUCUUUCAGAUCAUCAGAGAAAACGGAUGCCAGCUGAACAGCAUUCAAUGUACCAUGCAUUUACUGAUAAAAGAAGUGCUACCCAAAGACCCUAGCAGCCCUGCCAUUCAUUGAAACAAGGAGACUGAGUCUACGUAAAGUCUAUCAACGAAAGACUGCUUUGGCUCCACACUGGAAAGGCCCUUUCCAAGUCCUGUUAACCACCACCACCACUGUGAAGUGCCAAGGACUACCUGCCUGGACCCAUGCUUCUCACUGUAAAAAGACCCCUCCACCUCGGGAGGACUCUCCGACUGAUGAUAAGCCUAUUUCUCCUUCUAGCUCUGCUGUGUCUUCUGGACAGCAGGAAAAAGAAAGAAAGAAAAAAAAAAAGACAAGGUGAAGUGCUAGUAACCUCUCCCUUGUCCACUGACAGACCUACUGUGCCUCUGGAUUUUUCUAGAAGAAGCAAAACCAUUACAGGGUGAUGUGCUAGUAACCUCUCCCCUGUAUGAUGCUAAACCACACUGUUUCAGGAAAAGAGAAGAAGGAACACUUGCUUCAUUGAAACCACAAAGUCCAGGGAUUCCUGACUACAAGAGACAUUAAGAACUGACCCUGGUGAAGAAACAAAGAAUUAUACACUGGCAGGAAGAAACUUGUGGGACCCAUGCUUGGGAAUGUGGUAUAGUACUACACCAAAAA